GGGGCUAGGAUGAAAUUUGAAAAAAAUAGGCAGGACAGGAGUUUUGAGUAAAAAAAAAAAGGCAGGAUGAGACACUUUGCAAAAAAAAAGGCAGGAUGACAAUUUAGGUAAAAAAAAGUCAGGAUAAACUAAUAAAAAAAAAAAAGGCAGGACCGAAUAGAGUGAAAAAUAAAAAGGCAGGACAGAGAUUACAACUAAAAAAAAAUGCAGGACAAAAUUUUUCAACCUAGUCCCCC
rnacentral:lncRNA from 1 species